CCCCUCCCGCAGCCUCGCCGCCUUGGUGCCUUCCUGCCCGGCUCGGCCGGCGCUCGUCCCCGGCCCCGGCCCCGCCAGCCCGGGUCUCCACGCUCGCAGCAGCUCAGCCCUGCAGUGGCUCCGGACCCGAUGCUAUGAGAGGGAAGCGAGCCGGGCGCCCAGACCUGCAGGAGGCGUCGGAUGCGCGGCCGGUCUCGGGACCGGGCUCUGUCUCCGGCUCGCCUUGCCCUCUGGUGAUUAUUUGGCUCUGUUCAUAGCCCUGCCGCUCCUCGGAGGAGACGGGCACAUCUGAGACGAGCCAUCGGUGUCGUGUGCGUGUGGAAUAUCUGCAGACAUGACUGCGUGGAGGAAAUUCAAGUCCCUGCUCCUGCUUCUGGUGCUGCUGGUUCUGUGCGCGGAGCUUCUCACUGCAGCUAAGGCUAGACUCGGGACUUAGCUUUGGCUGAGACAACAAUCAGGAGUGUGAUUCACCGCCCAAGUAGUUGCUUCCCUCCCUUGAGUAAAGUGCCAUGUUAUCAGCAGAGGCUGCCUCUGGUUCUGUGGACUCCCACUCACGCAUGCGAGCAAUUCAGCAGAAGAGAGCGUCUGAGUGGAAGGUGACUCUUCGCACUUCUCUUCAUUCUCCAGGACAUUCUACUCUUACUGUUUACAUAUCUUUGUUGCAACAUUAGUUUCCUUAUGCUGUAGGCAAUUGCAUGU